CUUGCUCUUUUCUCAUUUCCUUUUAAACCUAUGAAUCCCCUCAAGCUAAAGGCACUCCCAACUCCGAGUGUAUGCCAUACUUGGAGCCUAUUAAGACCCCCCACUCAUAUCUCAAACCAGAAUGGGCUUCCAAGGCUUUAAAGCUACCUAAGAAUCUCUUCUAAAGCAACUUUUGCCUCAAAAUUAAGACAUGUACUACACUAAGGGUCGGGAGCUCUCAAAAUCAAGUGUAGAUGGAUCU